UUAGCUGGGGUAGCUACUCUAUACAAACUAGAGCGGCGUUUGAUGCGUCAUGUGCGGUAUAUGGUCCUGUUAAUAAGGAGAGUUAGGGUUAGUUACUUUAGGGAUAACAGCGCAAUAUUUUUGGGGAGACCGUAUCUAUAUAGAUGAUUGCGACCUCGAUGUUGAAUUAAAAGUUCACCGUGGGGCAGAGAAUACGGGGGAUGGUUUGUUCAACCUUUAAAUUUUUACAUGAUCAGAGUUCAGACCGGA
rnacentral:rRNA from 1 species